AAACAACAACAUAAACUCCCGAUUUUAUAGCAAAAUCAAAAUAAUUUAUAUAUCAAACAAAUUGUCAACUACGCAAACCUAAAAUUCAAUAAACAAUAACAUGGAAACCCAAAAAUUUUGGGAUUGGGAUUUUAUAGUUGCUAGUCACCAUUGUUGGUGCCGCAUCAGUCAACAGCAACCCAUGAUUCUUUGAACUGCCAGAAGCCUCUCGAUAUCGCGUCAAGCUCCUGCCGCUUGUUUCCACCUAGAAAUGGUCACUCGUUGCGGUAGUGCAAUUGGUUAUGUGACCCUUGUGACGUCCAUGGAAGGGGAAAAGCGAAAAACCUUGUUGGUGACGUCCAUGGAAGGGGAAAAGCGAAAAACCUUGUUGGGGAGUGUGAAUAGAGGAGGGAAGAAAAUGAGCACUUGUUGCAGAGUGUAAAUGGAGGAGGGAAGAUGGAGCAUGAGGGGUCACAGAGAAGGAAGAGAAAAAAAUAAUUUUUUUUCUUUUAUCUUUAUUCAUCGUUGUAAUUUUACUAUUCUACCUUUAUAAUAGUUAAGUUGAUAAUGAUUUUUAACGGAAUAGGUGCGCUGUGAUAAUUGUUGAAAAAUUAGGGUAUACGGUACAUUUGAAGAUUUUUAUGGGAGAUGGCGAAAAAUAAUCCUAAAAAAAAUAAUUAUAAUAAGUGGUAGAUAUUUUUGAACGCUAUAAAAGUGAUGAUUGAUAGAAUUUUC
rnacentral:lncRNA from 1 species